GCCAUGUUAGUAUAAUGGUUAAUAUCGGGCACGUCGGAAUAGUCAUGAAGGCGACUACUAGACAUCGUAAUGGAGUGCACGGGGCAUGGGUUCGACUCCCAUACAUGGCC